rnacentral:rRNA from 1 species
UACGUAGGGUGCAGGCGUUAAUCGGAAUUACUGGGCGUAAAGCGUGCGCAGGCGGUUUGCUAAGACAGGUGUGAAAUCCCCGGGCUUAACCUGGGAACUGCGCUUGUAACUAGCAGGCUAGAGUGUGGCAGAGGGGGGUGGAAUUCCAGGUGUAGCAGUGAAAUGCGUAGAUAUCAGGAGGAAUACCGAUGGCGAAGGCAGGUCUCUGGGCUGAUACUGACGCUCAUGCACGAAAGCGUGGGGAGCAAACAGG